CAGGAUGAACGCUAGCUACAGGCUUAACACAUGCAAGUCAGGGGCAGCAUGUUGGUUGCUUGCAACCAAUGAUGGCGACCGGCGCACGGGUGAGUAACGCGUAUCCAACCUCCCCUUAGUAGAGGAUAGCCCGGCGAAAGUCCGGAGUUAAUACUCUAUGUUCUUCAAUGCGGACAUCUAAGUUGAAGCAAAGAUUUAUCGCUAAGGGAUGGGGAUGCGUCUGAUUAGGUUGCAGGCGGGGUAACGGCCCACCUGGCCUACGAUCAGUAGGGGUUCUGAGAGGAAGGUCCCCCACACUGGUACUGAGACACGGACCAGACUCCUACGGGAGGCAGCAGUGAGGAAUAUUGGCAAUGGGCGCGAGCCUGAACCAGCCAAGUAGCGUGCAAGGACGACUGCCCUAUGGGUUGUAAACUGCUUUUAUCAGGGAAUAAAGUGAGGCACGCGUGCCUUUUUGUAUGUACCUGAUGAAUAAGGACCGGCUAAUUCCGUGCCAGCCGCCGC
rnacentral:rRNA from 1 species